rnacentral:rRNA from 1 species
UAGGGAAUCUUCCACAAUGGGCGCAAGCCUGAUGGAGCAACACCGCGUGAGUGAAGAAGGGUUUCGGCUCGUAAAGCUCUGUUGUUAGAGAAGAACACGAGUGAGAGUAACUGUUCAUUCGAUGACGGUAUCUAACCAGCAAGUCACGGCUAACUACGUGCCAA